rnacentral:lncRNA from 1 species
GGGAGCGCGCAGAGUCCCGCUGAAAAAUGGCUGCUGCAUCGGGGUGCAAUGCGCCCGCGAGCGGGCUGUAGGGCCCUUGCCACCCCGUCCACGCUGCUCCCUUACCAUGAGGCCGAUGAGUCGCCGAAGCCUGGACUGGACUUACUCCCUGUUGCUCCUUGCAAUCGUCUUGCUCUCUUGGGGAUUCGUCAUCUAUGCAUCGACUGUAGCUGCACGACGACAACUACAGAAGGAGUUUCCAGACAAGUUCUUCUGAACGAACUUUUGUAAUUCUUAGCAAACACUUCUUUUCUUCAGAUGGCACCUAUGUAGACUCAAAGUAAAAUUCACAAUACAAAUUUGCGUGUGGCCUUUUGUGAUAAGCGUUAACAUGCCAAUUUUUCAAAAUGAUCGGACAACACCCCCCCCCCCCCCCNCCUGCCUCUGCCUCCCGAGUGCUGGGAUUAAAGGCGUGCGCCACCACGCCCGGCUCUAUUUUGUAUCAGGUCAUAGCUUUUCAUUCUAGUGCUCAAACACUUCACAUCCUCAUGUCAAAUCAGUAUGUAAACAACACUGUGACUAAAAUGUGUUUUGCAUCCUGUUUAUCAAAAUGGACAGAAAAAAGUAGCUAAUAGCUCUGUUUAGUAUUUGUCUUUUUACUGUUAGUCUCAAAUCAAAGAACCUUUGGACAGUAACACGGACAGUGAUAACACUCUGAGAAUAAGCUUUAUUAAUUACUUUUCCAGGAAACAGAUUCAGUAAAUACAGCACUUUAGGAACAUACUUGUGCUGUUACACAAGUCUGUUAAGUUUUUAAGGACUCUUCAAUGAUGUUGAUCAGGAAAAUCUCUCAUUGGUGGAAUUACUUCUCCAGUCUCCAGAAUUGUAUCACCCUAGGGAAAACAGGAAGUGUUUAAUAAAGAUUUUUCACCAAAUAUACAUUUCAUUGUAAAUAUUCCAACAUUUGCUCAACACAAUAAAUGACU